rnacentral:misc_RNA from 1 species
UCCGAGUUGACCCCGGCAGUCUCCUAUGAGUCCCCGGCAUUACCCGCUGGCAACAUAGAACGAGGGUUGCGCUCGUUGCGGGACUUAACCCAACAUCUCACGACACGAGCUGACGACAACCAUGCACCACCUGUCCACCGACCCCGAAGGGAAACCCCAUCUCUGGGGCGGUCCGGUGAAUGUCAAGCCUUGGUAAGGUUCUUCGCGUUGCAUCGAAUUAAUCCGCAUGCUCCGCCGCUUGUGCGGGCCCCCGUCAAUUCCUUUGAGUUUUAGCCUUGCGGCCGUACUCCCCAGGCGGGGCACUUAAUGCGUUAGCUACGGCACGGAUCCCGUCGAUAGGGUCCCACACCUAGCACCCACCGUUUACGGCGUGGACUAC